rnacentral:rRNA from 1 species
CAAUAGCGUAUAUUAAAGUUGUUGCAGUUAAAAGCUCGUAGUUGGAUUUCGGAGUGGGCCAGUUGGUCCGCCGCAAGGUGUGUUACUGACUGGUUUGCUCUUCUUCGCAAAGACUGCGUGUGCUCUUGAGUGAGUGUGCGUAGAAUUUACGACGUUUACUUUGAAAAAUUAGAGUGUUCAAAGCAGGCUAUUGCUUGAAUACAUGAGCAUGGAAUAAUGGAAUAGGACUUUGGUCCCAUUUUGUUGGUUUCCGAGACCGAAGUAAUGAUUAAUAGGGACAGUUUGGGGCAUUCGUAUUUCAUUGUCAGAGGUGAAAUUCUUGGAUUUAUGAAAGACGAACUUCUGCGAAAGCAUUUGCCAAAGGAUGUUUUCAUUAAUCAAGAACGAAAGUUGGAGGCUCGAAGACGAUCAGAU